rnacentral:rRNA from 1 species
AUUGAACGCUAGCGGGAUGCCUUACACAUGCAAGUCGAACGGAGUGGCGAACGGGUGAGUAAUGUAUCGGAACGUGCCCAGUAGCGGGGGAUAACUACGCGAAAGCGUAGCUAAUACCGCAUACUAUUGGAGCGGCCGAUAUCGGAUUAGCUCGUUGGUGGGGUAACGGCUCACCAAGGCGACGAUCCGUAGCUGGUUUGAGAGGCCGCCCAGCCCACCUGUGACGGAGACACGUCCCAGCCUCCUACGGGCGGCCGCAGUGGGGAAUUUGGGACAAUGGGGGAACCCCUGAUCCAGCCAUCCCGCGUGUGCGAUGAAGGCCUUCGGGUUGUAACGCACUUUUGUCAGGAAAGCGGUACCUGCAGAAUAAGCACCGGCUAACUACGUGCCAGCAGCCGCGGUAAUUC